rfam:Bradyrhizobium sp. S23321 DNA, complete genome.
GCGCUCGUAGCUCAGCUGGAUAGAGCAUCGGAUUUCGAUUCCGAGGGUCGGGAGUUCGAAUCUCUCCGAGCGCG